rnacentral:tRNA from 4 species
GCUUCGUUAGCUCAGUAGGUAGAGCACCUGCCUUUUAAGCAGGGUGUCCGGGGUUCGAAUCCCCGACGAGGCACCA